CUCCGUUUUUUGUAUGCCCAGUUCAAUCAAAAUGGGAUUUCUUUUUUGUUUCUUUCAUUCUACAGGGAAGGGUGGGUAGAGGGGUUGUUAGCACGGUCCCAGAUCUCGCCAUCUUAAAUGAAUCAUGGGUAACUGCAGACGUGGAGGGUGUCUUGAGAAUGCGCGCGGCAGAAUAAAGGUGAGAGGACCAACAUAAGCGGUUGUAUAAAAACCUAGAUAGGAAGUCUGGUCGCCUCACGAGACUCGUUUUUCUCCUGACCGCUUUCGUGUAGAACUUUAGCUAAACGUAACCCUAACCCUUAACCAUUUCCAAGCUGUAAUCUCAUUCUCCUUACCUACACCAUUAACCGUCUUGAUCUGCCACGAUAAUAAUCAAACCAGGCGUGUUAAUUCUUCUUACAUGCCAUGUCAGUUCUUCUAACCUGCGUGUUAAUCCGACCCCACCUAACUGGCUCAGCUAAAGAGCUAGAGGGAAGUAGGAAGCAGCCACACAUGACUUGAGUGUCCUGAGUGGCAACCAAUCUGCUGUUAGAUUUCCAUUCAACCAUUGAUGCUAAUUCUCUUGCAUUUCGUAAAAAACACUUAUGUGGGCACGCAAGAACACACACAUGCACGCACGAACACAACUUGACAUUCUCUAUGCAGUCAAUUAGCCAAUCGUCGACUUCCAAUGAUUUGGAAGAUGUCAAUGAUUUUGUCCAUUAUAAGUUGAUGGACAACGGUACAUAUCCAUCAAUUACCACCCCAAAAAAAAGGUUUAGAGGAGUUCUGAUGCGCUAUCCAAUUAGAAGAGGAUAUGGCAUGGCCCACUGACCUACAGUAAAUGAAUCCAUCCUCUUUUUGAUGUUUUUUUCCCUCUAAAAUGUUGACACGCCCUUAUGAGAUAGCAAGACCACACAAACAGGUCUGGGACCAGGCUAAUUAAAUGCUUUGCGGAGGUGGAAAGUCAACGGAUACCUGAGCUCUGUGUAGUCACGCUCUUGGGCCUUUCUACAGAAAAAAACCCUCUAAUAAGGCGUCUAAGGUGUCUUUGCUUAUAAUUCUCUGAGCACUUUGGUUUGUUCCUCCCUGCCCAGGACAUGCUACCUGAAAGGGAUGCUUUGAUUAAAUAUUUUUUAUACUUGUUUUCCUUUUACCAUUUUCAGAUCCCACUUCAAGAUACAAAUCUCACAAAUAAUGCAACUAUUUUAAAGGUAAAAUGACUGGCAAACAGUCAUUCACUAUUACUAAACACUAAAUGGACAACACAGAACAACUUCCAUAAUAAUCUGGAAAAAUCACAACUAUCAAUUAUUUUUGCAUCACAUUUCCACUCAUGUAACCAACUGUGCAAAUACUGUAUGCAUGAGUU
ensembl:lncRNA